rnacentral:rRNA from 1 species
GACGUAGGAGACGAGCGUUGUCCGGAUUUACUGGGCGUAAAGCGCGCGCAGGCGGCCCCGCAGGUCGGUUGUGAAAGCCCCCGGCUCAACCGGGCGGAGGCGAGCGAAACCGCGGGGCUGGAGGCUGGCAGAGGGUGGUGGAAUUCCCGGUGUAGUGGUGAAAUGCGUAGAGAUCGGGAGGAACACCCGCGGCGAAGGCGGCCACCUGGACCAGACCGUGACGCUGAGGCGGCGAAGGCCGGGGGAGCGAACGGG